rnacentral:rRNA from 1 species
CUACGGGCCGCAGCAGUGAGGAAUUUUGCGCAAUGGGGGAAACCCUGACGCAGCAACGCCGCGUGAGCGAAGAAGGCCCUCGGGUCGUAAAGCUCUGUCAAGUGGGAAAAAAGCCUUUUGAUCAAUACCCAAAAGGUUUGAUGGUACCACUGGAGGAAGCACCGGCUAACUCCGUGCCAGCAGCCGCGGUAAUACGGAGGGUGCAAGCGUUGUUCGGAAUUACUGGGCGUAAAGGGCGUGCAGGCGGUUUGGCAAGUCAGAUGUGAAAGCCCUGGGCUUAACCCGGGAAGUGCAUUUGAAACUGCCGUUCUUGAGUAUGGGAGAGGAGAGUGGAAUUCCCAGUGUAGAGGUGAAAUUCGUAGAUAUUUGGAGGAACACCCGUGGCGAAGGCGACUCUCUGGACCAAUACUGACGCUGAGACGCGAAAGCGUGGGGAGCAAACAGGAUUAGAUACCCGGGUAGUC